CUAUCCUGAAGUCAUAGGAUUAAGUUAUACAGAAGAUUUAAAAGUAUGGUUUGUCCACUUUGAUCAGAGCUUGGACCAUGAAAUGUAAACAAACUUCAGCAGAACUUUCAAGUCUGCGAGCAAGAGCUAUGCGGUCUAUUUGAAUCUCUCAGGCAAGUUCUGACAAGGUUAGAAAAUAUGUUGCUAAAGGAAGAAGGUGAAGUGGAUAGCAAUCAUUAACUAUUGCUAUUAGUUGACAUAACAGGGUUGUUCAUGUCUUUAUAUCAGCAAGACAUUCCAAUAAUGAUAUCACAGAACUGUUUUUUGUAAAUUGGCAGAUAGUGUUGAAUGCCAUCAACAAUGCAGUGGAAAGAGAUAUUUCAUAGAAAUAGUUCCUAGGUGUAACAUAAGGGGAAAAAAGACUGGCCCUUGAAUGAAUCAUUGCAGAACUCCCCAAGUAACAAGUGUUGCAGCUGAAGACUAUGCGUCUACCUGGAUUGGGAAGCUUUUUUUUUCCCCCAUUAAAGACUUAAACCAAUGUAGCACAAUUUCUUCCAACCCCACGCAAUGCUCAAGCCUUGAUAAAAGGAUGCAAUAAUCCAAUGUCAAACAAGGCUCUUAGACCUCAAAGAGCAGGGAUUUUCAAAAACAGUUAUAACCAGGUCAUUGAAAACUUUAGGAUAGCAGGUUUAGUGCUGUGAAACUUUUUAAAGCCAGAUUGAAACUUUUCAUGAUCACGAUUCUCUUCUAAGAUCACUUCAAACUGGGGAAAAAAAAAAAAAAAAGAAUUUUGUAAAAGAACCUGGGGGGAAAAAAGGCGAUUUCUGUUUGGACCAGGGAGGUGUCUGCAUGUUUAACCCUUUGUUGCAGUUCGUGCGGUCGUCCUCAUGAGGGCGCCAGGUAGCAACAGUCUUGACUCGCUGCAGGUGUUUGGUGUUAGAAUCCAGUAGAUGAGUCUGCGGCACAGAUUGGUGUCGAGGUGCAGAACCGUGUUUUGGAUCAAAGGUGUUUUCUCUGACAGCUGUGUGCCCCAUCCUACAGUCAUCAUGAAGGAGGUAACAACAGAUAAUAUCUAUGCAUACGCUCUGUCCAAGACGCUAACGAAGGUUUCAUCACCGGCAACAGUGGGACUCUACUCUUCUUGUCAGGACCGACUGUAUGUGAUUCUCGAUCAAAUAGGAGUGUACACAAAUCGGGAGUCUUUGAGGAUUGAGGAGAAAUCUGACAAAGGACAAAAACCCCGUGCAGUCAAACAUUCUGUCAAAGACUUCUUGGUUCUCAUUGUGAGGUUGCUCUUCUACACACCAGUCUGGACUACGGAGAACCAGAAUCGCCAUAAUGUCAGGUUCCUUUAUGUGAAUUUCAGUGCUUGGCAUUUUGCUGGCAGUGACAUGCUAUGGGCUGGGAUAGCCAUACGACUGUUUAAUGCCAUGCAGAUGAAUUUUGGGAAACUGCAACUCUCACUCUAUCGUGUUACUCAAUAUGAUAAAAGGGAUGAAGUUAAGGCAAAGGAGGUGAAGGACAUCCCCAAUAACUGGAUAUCCAAGAAGGUUUGCUGCUGCCCCCUGUGGUUUUUCCUACUGUUCAUCAUUGUUGUCCCAGUAGUUCUCGUAGUGGUCUUUUUUGUUUGGGUUUUUCCUAAUGCUGAAAUAAAACCAGAGGAGCUGGAGACUGAAGCAAACAGUGAGAUGAAUCUACUGGAGGGCUUUGCUAUUGCAUCCUUAGGAGUCCCAGCAGUAACAUUACUCAGGUUUGCCUUUCAGAUGGUCAAGAACCUCAUUUUCAGUCAAGAACAGAACAUUAAACGAGGAAUGGACAAUGAACGGAUCAGCAACCAAUUGGGAUUCAUGAAUGAAGUCAGGAAAGAAAUGUGGUUUCUGACUCAAUUCAUCAAGUUCAUGGAGGUGUUUGAAAGGAGGAGGAUUCGUAUUGUGUUGAAAAUUACACAUCUGGACCGUUGCUCCCCCAAGAAAAUUGUUGGAGUCCUGGAGGCCAUCAAUAUUUUACUCUCAGAUGAGAAAAGCCCAGUUCUUUCCAUCCUGGCUGUAAAUCCAAAUGUUCUGUUAAAAAAAGUGAAAUUUGCAGAAAACUGCUUCUGUAAAGAGGACAGAGCUCACGCACUGCUGAACCGCAUAGUCACUCUGGGCUUCACAGUCCCACCAAUGUGUGAAAAUUCAAAGCGCAGCUUAUUUAACAGUCUUAACAACACUCCAGGAUUCUCUGAAGAUUCCUUUUUAAGAUGGAACAGAGACAGGAGAACGACUUCUUCAAUAGAUCUGUCUGUGGUGGCAAUUGAGGAAUCAAAGGAGUCAAAUCCUCUGAUCAACACAAAUAGAGAUACUUUAGGUGUGAAGGAGGAUAAAUUGGAAAAAAUGGUUCAGACAAUACUUAGCAACGGUGAAAAAAAGCUGAACAAGUACAUGUUAGAUGAUGCCAUCUCAAUGAAGAGGACGAUCAGCUCUGUCUGGGUAACGGUCAUAAUCAUGAAGUUACUGAAGAAAGAGUUUCCUGACCCAGAGCACACUGCAGCAUGGGUGGUUCUAGCCAACCAGUGGCCCUGUCGAUUCAGCUGGAUCCUCCAGUGUGUGGAGGAUGAAAAGCAGAGAGCAGCGAUUGAUCAACAGAACAUGAGCUCUGAUGAUUCAAAGACCCUUUGGGAGGUCUUCAGCGAGUCCAGGGAGGAGCUCUAUGUGAUGCGGACACACAUCGAGGACCUCCUCGAGCAGGACGGAGAUCCUGAAGUGUUCGAAGCGUUACUCAAGGAUGAUGAGUUUGAGUUCACCUUAAAGAACCUGGAGAUCUUUCAGGUAGGGAUGGUGAAUCUGGAUCAGUCAAUCAAGAGGGAACUGGCUCUUAUCAGAGGGACAUGCAGGCUGGAAAAUUCUGGUUGGAUGAGGAACAUAGCUCCUCUUCCAGUCACAAGUCUUAUCAAAAUGACCACAGACGACAUAUGUGAAGAGAUGGAGAGGAUGAAAUUGGACAGUAUGUACAGGGAAACAGUGAAAAAACAUAAGCUCAAUGGCUCUGCUCUGGUCUUUGGUGACACAGAAGAUCUGAAAGUCCUCCUGGGUAUGACAUUUGGUGAAUGGGCAACUUUCAAACAGCACUUCUUGAGUUUCGUCUCACCGGACGAGAACAUGCUGCCAUUACCUGCCAAAAUCCACCUGUCCAAGUUCCUCCAGUGUGUAGUGAAGACAUAAUUACUCAUCUACCACCAGCCUGUGUUAACAGUUGCCUUUAGUAACAUAGUUAAAUACUGUAUAUUGAAUGUGCUAAGGUACACUGAGUGCUCCAAAUCUUUUUUUUAUCCCUUUUCCAUGUUUGUAUGGCUUUGAUAAGCAGAUGUCUUGAUCGAGUGUUGAAAUAUGUUUUCAUUACACCUCAACUGUUGGUUCUGGCUUCCAGGAUAUGGACUCAAGUCCCAGAGUGCAACAUUUUUCACCCACUGUAUAAAUAUAUUAAUUCACAGCUGAACUACAGCAGCUCAAAGACACUUCCAGUAGAAUUCUACUGGAAUUCUACUUCCAGUACUGGAAGUGCUUAUGUUGCUUUUAAUGUAAUUACAGUUCAUAACCAUUUAAGUAAAAACAAAAAUCAGUCUUAGUUUGCAAGAUUAUCUACUAAACUUUACCAAGUCACUAAAGGUGUGUUUCCAGAGUUUACCACGCAAGUUAUUUAUAGCUGAUAUUUUUCAAACUUUUAUUCAUAGCGGUUUAUUCAUAAGUGGAACUUAAGGACUCAUGAAUUUAAAUCACAUAAUGAGAUUAAAUGAAUAAGACUGUGAUGAAGCAAAAUAUGUCAAGGGAGAUAAAUAAUUAUAUGAGAACAAGGAUAUUAGACAAACUCUUCUUACAGCUGCGGGUUUAAUCUCUGGGAAAUUUAACACCAUGAAGCAUUGAAGUUAUGUUGCGGAGGAAAUAAAUAUAUAAUAAGCUCAAAUUUAUUAACUCCUGUAAACUCAAGUUCAACAGUAUGUGUUCAGAAUACUUUAUUGAUCUUUAAUGAAGCAUCUCAGCACUGUACAUAAGAUGCAAUAAACUGUAAUUUUCAGUUCCAUCUAAUAAAAUGCAAGCCCACAACUGAAAUGUAAACACAAAGUCUUCCAACAGUAAAAUUAUCACAAAAAACUUAUUUUGUGUGGCUGUCAUUUCAAAACGCAUUCAAGUUUAUAAAUAAUCAAAGCAAUUAGAAGGUUUGUUAGUGAUAUUUUCACAUCAAACAAGUUAAAA